GAUGAAGAACGUAGCGAAAUGCGAUAAGUAAUGUGAAUUGCAGAAUUCAGUGAAUCAUCGAAUCUUUGAACGCACCUUGCGCCCUUUGGCUAUUCCGAAGGGCAUGCCUGUUUGAGUAUCGUGAACACCUCAACUCUCAUGGUUUGCCAUGAUGAGCUUGGACUUUGGGGGUUUUGCUGGCCUUUGGUCGGCUCCUCUCAAACGGAUCAGCUUUCCAGUGUUUGGUGGCGUCACGGGUGUGAUAACUAUCUACGCCUGUGGUUUUCUGCCAGAUAACCUUCAGCGAUGGAGGUUCGCUGGGGCUCAUAAAUGUCUCUCUUCAGUGGAGACAGCUUUUUGGACGUUUGAUCUCAAAUCAGGUAGGACUACCCGCUGAACUUAAGCAUAUCAAUAAGCGGAGG
rnacentral:misc_RNA from 1 species